UACGUAGGGGGCAAGCGUUGUCCGGAUUUAUUGGGCGUAAAGAGCGUGUAGGCGGCCAUACAGGUCCGUUGUGAAAACUGGAGGCUUAACCUCCAGACGUCGAUGGAAACCGUAUGGCUAGAGUCCGGAAGAGGAGAGUGGAAUUCCUGGUGUAGCGGUGAAAUGCGUAGAUAUCAGGAGGAACACCUGUGGUGUAGACAGCUUACUGGACCACUUCUGACGCUGAGACACGAAAGCGUGGGUAGCAAACAGG
rnacentral:rRNA from 1 species